UGUUCGCUUUCAUCCUGCUCGGGUUAGCUGAUGACUGAAUAGGGGCAGCUGUAACACCUCAAAAUUUGCCCUCCUCAUUCAUGCAUUCAUUUUUAGGUCAUUUAACAUUUCAUAUUGCAUUUCAUCAUGUCAAUCAGAACCAGAUCCAAGAAACUUUAUUUAAAAAAAAAACGAAAAAAAAAGGAAAACGAAAAAAAAAUAUAUAAAAGAAAAUUUAAUUAAAUAAAUAAAUAAAAG
rnacentral:lncRNA from 1 species